AUUCUUGUUUUUUUUUUUGAGAUGGAAUUUUGCUCUUGCUGCCCAGGCUGGAAUGCAAUGGUGCGAUCUUGGCUCACUGCAACCUCUGCCUCCCGGGUUCAAGCGAUUCUUCUGCCUCAGCCUCCCAAGUAGCUGGGAUUACAGGCAUGCACCACCACACCCGGCUAAUUUUUGUAUUUUUAGUAGAGACGGGGUUUCACCAUGUUGGUCAGGCUGGUCUCGAACUCCUGACCUCAGGUGACCUCAGGUGAUCCACCUGCCUCGGCCUCCCAAGUGCUGGGAUUACAGGCUUGAGCCACUGUGCCCGCCCCUCACCCCCCCUUCUUGUAUUCUUAUGGUUGUAUAUUUUCAGUUUCUGUCUUUAUCUUAGCUGCAGUUAAUUUUUGUCAAUGAUGAGAAAUAGUGAGAAAUGCCACACGGACCUGUGAUGCAGUGGAAGAGGUAGCCUAAAGUCAGAAAGUCAGUGAUCUAGGCUUGUUCCCAUGUCACCUUUGUAAUUUUGGACAAUUAGUUCACCUUCUUUCAGCUAAGAAUCCUCAUCUUGAAAACAAGAAUGAAUAAAUACCUAUUUAGGCUAAUUUCUAAUACUAUUGUGAAGGUCAAAUAAGAUAAUAAAUGAGAAGGAAAAACACCCUUUGCAAAUCUAUUAUCAUUACUACAGAUUCUUGGUUGAUGCAAAUCAAAUGUAAGUAGAAUGCAGCAUUUUUUCCAGUACCUGCAAAUCAUUGAUUGAUUUAACAAAUGUUUAUGUAAUGCCUCUGUGCAAGUCCCUGGGGGAGGGGAGAGGACAAUCAAGAAGAUGGAAACUAACAUUUGAGGGGUCCCUGUUUUCUAUUAGUUUACUUAAUGAAGGAAAAGACUUAGUUCUCUCCACCCAGGAGAGUACAGUCUAGAAGCAGAGAAAAGAUUGUAUACAUAGGAGAGUUUGUGCCUUUAUUAAUGUGGGUGUGGAGCCACUAGGGUUUGUUGAUUGGGAGAUAGCACAGAGUACUUUAGCUUUCUAACCAUAAACCUGGCUGAGAGCGCUUCAGGAGACAAUUGCCUAGAUCCCUUUGUCCCCAGGCAGGCCUCCUCCUGUGUGACCUUCCCUAACUCCCUCUUCCCUCAGGCCCACUCCAUCACUUAUUCAAAUAGCAUUGCAAUGACUCCUGCUGAGUCUUUUCCUGCACCAGCUCUCUAUUGCCUUAAGGAGAGCCUUAGUGUUUUGUCCUUGAAGCCUGUCCUGGGCCAGUUGAACUUUCCUGCCUUUCCAUGGUGACCUCUCAACUCCCUCUUGUGGCAAUUUCCCUUUAUUUUACAUGCAGGUCUCUCUUGCCAGCCUGUUAGCUGGAGCCCACAGGGCAGAUGCAGCACCUAGGGUAAUGCCAGCCAGGCGCUCAGAAGUAGACAACACUCAGUCAAUGUUUGCUGAACAAACUGAACCCAUUCCCUUCCCUGAGAGCCAGCGGGGGUUGAGGGGUUGCGUAAUAGAGAUGAGCAGUGUGUGGCUCCCUUUGCCUUCCAUUAGACCUUUGAUAACAGUGGAUUGAGGAGUUGGGAAACCACAUGAUGUGCAAGGGACAUUCCUUGAGCCUGAUGAUUUGUAUAUUUUAGAAUUCUUGUACCCCCUUAAUUCCUCCAUAUAUAUAUAUAUUUUUGAAAUGGAGUCCCACUCUGUCGCCCAGGCUGGAGUGCAGUGGUACCAUCUUGGCUCAGUGCAACCUCCGCCUCACAGGUUCAGGUGGAUCCUGCCUCAGCCUCCUGAGUAGCUGGGAUUACAGGCACCCGCCACCACGCCCGGCUAAUUGUGUAUUUUUUAGUAGAAAUGAGGUUUCGCCAUGUUGGCCAGGCUGGUCUCAAACCCCUGACCUCAGGUGAUCCACCCACCUCAGCAUCCCAAAGCCGAGGCGGGUGGAUCACUUGAGGUCAGGAGUUCGAGACCAGCCUGGCCAAUAAGGUGAAACCCUGUCUCUACUAAAAAUACAAAAAUUAGCCGAGCAUGGUGGCCUGUGCCUGUAAACCCAGCUACUCAGGAGGUUGGGGCAGAAUUGCUUGAACCCAGGGGGCAGAGGUUGCAGUGAGCCGAGAUUGCACCCCUGCACUCCAGGCUGGGCAACAGUACGAGACUCUGUUCCAAAAAAAAUAAAAAAGAACAGCCUUUUUAGGCCACAGUGACCUGCGCAAUGUUUAUAUGCUUUGACCUACUAACUUUCUCCUAACUAAAUAUUUGAUUUUAGGAGAGUGUUUAAAUAAAUUACAGUAUGUCUAUAUGAUGAAAUGUUAUUUUGCCAUUAAAAUUUUGUUUACAAAGAUAAUUUUUAUUGACAUAAAAAUAACUUUAAUGUAAUUUAUGUUGAAAAAGCUGAAUACAAGUCUUUAUAUAGAGUAAUAUUUGAGCUGUGUUCAAAAAUACAUAGGAAAAGACUGAUAAAAUGAAAUAUGGCAAAAUGUUAAUAGUUUUCCCUGGAAUAGGAUAAUAGGCAAUUUUAAAACAGACUCCUUU
rnacentral:lncRNA from 1 species